AAAAAAUAACAACAUCUCCCUCCGCGGGGGUGGCGCGGGCCGCCCCCAGCCCGCCCGGAGCGAGCGGCGGCGCGGGGCUGCGCGGGGCGGGGAGGGGGGAGCCGCGGGGCGGGGGCGCGGCGCGGGGCGGCGUGCGGGGCCCGGAGCGGAACGGAGCGGAGCGGAGCGGAGGGCUCUAUUGUUAUUUACCGAGCGGCGGAGCACGCCGCCGCCGCGCCGCGCCGCCCGGGCUCGGCGUGCAGGAGGGACGGGAGGGAGGGACGGGACGGAGAGGCAGCCCCGAGCCGCUCCGCGCUGCCGCCCGCCCCGGGGCCGCGCCGUGCUGGGCAGGGGCCAGGCCGAGCGCUGCGGUCUCCUGAGAACAUUUUUUUCUGAGUGA
rnacentral:lncRNA from 1 species